rnacentral:rRNA from 1 species
AAGACCUUGCGCUUUUGGAGCGGCCGAUGCCUGAUUAGCUUGUUGGUAAGGUAAAAGCUUACCAAGGCUUCGAUCAGUAGCUGGUCUGAGAGGACGGCCAGCCACACUGGGACUGAGACACGGCCCAGACUCCUACGGGAGGCAGCAGUGGGGAAUUUUGGACAAUGGGGGCAACCCUGAUCCAGCCAUGCCGCGUGAGUGAAGAAGGCCUUCGGGUUGUAAAGCUCUUUCAGCCGGAACGAAACGGUUACGGUUAAUACCCGUGACUACUGACGGUACCGGAAGAAGAAGCGCCGGCUAACUACGUGCCAGCAGCCGCGGUAAUACGUAGGGUGCGAGCGUUAAUCGGAAUUACUGGGCGUAAAGCGUGCGCAGGUGGUUUUGUAAGUCAGAUGUGAAAGCCCCGGGCUCAACCUGGGAACU